AAAAGGCGGACGCACCCUGAUCAUCUGUCCUGUGACGGGCUCAGCCAUUGGAUCGCGAAUCUGCGUUCGCGCAUGCGUGGUCCUAGAGCUACGGUGACACUUCGCGUGCGGUGUAGGCGCAUCUUCGCUCUGUUGGCCGUGGCUUUAGUAAGCACACACCUGCCUGCUACUCUGGUUAUCGUGGCGACGGCAGGUCUGGAUUGCCAGACAGGUUUUUCUUUUUACCUCGAGGCUUUCUCUGAAGGGAGUCGGAGCAUUUAAAAGGCGGCCUCAAGGUGGAUUGAGUCGGGGGAGGAUUAGCAGUAUUUGCUUAGGUUGUAAAACCGCGACUUUAUCUAAUAAAUCGCCAUUCAAGGUGCAAAUACAAACUUGGAACAGAGAUGUAAAUGAAUUCCUCAAGGUCAGAGACUGUUUUUAUUCAUUUCUACAUCUCCAACACCUGGCAAAGUGCCUCGGCCAUAAAAGGUACUUGAUAAAUCUUGUUGAACUGACCUGACCUACUCUCAGUGAACCCACAUUUUAGUGGGAGAGACACCUUGCUGACAACUGAAAUAUUAUGUAAUGAAGUCAGUGCCACACAAGAUAUGUGUUCAAGGGGUUAUAGGAGCUCUGAGGAGGUACCACAUGUCAUCCGCCUUAUGAUGUCAAAAACUAAACUGUGAGGAAAUUGGAAAUAAGGUCAGAGUUACAUUGUGGUUCUCCAUGUAGGAAAAUAGAGAAAAGAGAGUCUUAUGCUAAUAUUACAUGUACUAUAAAUGCUAAGCAAGACUGUGUACUCUGGGUGAUCAUGUUCUUUUCCUCAAGCAUGAUCUCAUCAGAUUGUGGUAACC
rnacentral:lncRNA from 10 species